rnacentral:rRNA from 1 species
GGUGGAAGAGUGGCGAACGGGUGAGUAACACGUGAGCAACCUGCCCUUCACUCUGGGAUAAGCACUGGAAACGGUGUCUAAUACUGGAUAUGUCCCAUCACCGCAUGGUGUGUGGGUGGAAAGAUUUAUCGGUGAAGGAUGGGCUCGCGGCCUAUCAGCUUGUUGGUGAGGUAGUGGCUCACCAAGGCGACGACGGGUAGCCGGCCUGAGAGGGUGACCGGCCACACUGGGACUGAGACACGGCCCAGACUCCUACGGGAGGCAGCAGUGGGGAAUAUUGCACAAUGGGCGCAAGCCUGAUGCAGCAACGCCGCGUGAGGGAUGACGGCCUUCGGGUUGUAAACCUCUUUUAGUAGGGAAGAAGCGCAAGUGACGGUACCUGCAGAAAAAGCACCGGCUAACUACGUGCCAGCAGCCGCGGUAAUACGUAGGGUGCAAGCGUUGUCCGGAAUUAUUGGGCGUAAAGAGCUCGUAGGCGGCUUGUCGCGUCUGCUGUGAAAACCCGAGGCUCAACCUCGGGCCUGCAGUGGGUACGGGCAGGCUAGAGUGCGGUAGGGGAGAUUGGAAUUCCUGGUGUAGCGGUGGAAUGCGCAGAUAUCAGGAGGAACACCGAUGGCGAAGGCAGAUCUCUGGGCCGUAACUGACGCUGAGGAGCGAAAGCAUGGGGAGCGAACAGGAUUAGAUACCCUGGUAGUCCAUGCCGUAAACGUUGGGAACUAGAUGUAGGGCCUGUUCCACGGGUUCUGUGUCGUAGCUAACGCAUUAAGUUCCCCGCCUGGGGAGUACGGCCGCAAGGCUAAAACUCAAAGGAAUUGACGGGGGCCCGCACAAGCGGCGGAGCAUGCGGAUUAAUUCGAUGCAACGCGAAGAACCUUACCAAGGCUUGACAUAUACGAGAACGGGCGAGAGAUCGUCAACUCUUUGGACACUCGUAAACAGGUGGUGCAUGGUUGUCGUCAGCUCGUGUCGUGAGAUGUUCGGUUAAGUCCGGCAACGAGCGCAACCCUCGUCCUAUGUUGCCAGCACGUUAUGGUGGGAACUCAUGGGAUACUGCCGUGGUCAACACGGAGGAAGGUGGGGAUGACGUCAAAUCAUCAUGCCCCUUAUGUCUUGGGCUUCACGCAUGCUACAAUGGCCGAUACAAAGGGCUGCGAUACCGCGAGGUGGAGCGAAUCCCAAAAAGUCGGUCUCAGUUCGGAUUGGGGUCUGCAACUCGACCCCAUGAAGUCGGAGUCGCUAGUAAUCGCAGAUCAGCAACGCUGCGGUGAAUACGUUCCCGGGCCUUGUACACACCGCCCGUCAAGUCAUGAAAGUCGGUAACACCCGAAGCCGGUGGCCUAACCCUUGUGGAGGGAGCCGUCGAAGGUGGGACUGGUGA